rnacentral:misc_RNA from 1 species
UACGGAGGGUGCGAGCGUUAAUCGGAAUUACUGGGCGUAAAGCGCGCGUAGGUGGCUUGAUAAGCGGGUUGUGAAAGCCCCGGGCUCAACCUGGGAACGGCAUCCGGAACUGUCGGGCUAGAGUGCAGGAGAGGAAGGUAGAAUUCCCGGUGUAGCGGUGAAAUGCGUAGAGAUCGGGAGGAAUACCCGUGGCGAAGGCGGCCUUCUGGACUGACCCUGCCACUGAGGUGCGAAAGCGUGGGUAGCAAACAGG